GUCCGCCUAGCUCAACGGUUAGAGCGUCAGACUCUUAAUCUGAAGGUAGCGAGUUCGACCCUCGUGGUGGGCU